GCGUUCGUGGAUCAUGGUGAUCCCCUCGCUUCCGUAGUAGAGGAUGAGGAGGUUCGAUUCCUCCCGGAGGCA